CACCACAUCGUAUCCAUUCACCGAAACGAAACUCUGCCAUUGAACUUUAAUUUUGUGGACAACGAUUCAUGGGCUUCAUCUCUGUGGACAAAAUUUUCCUAAACUUGGUAGCCGCAUUGGAACACAAUGAUACUGAAAAUCUCAAGAAACGAAAGAUGCGAAGAAUUUAAGUGACCAAAAAGUAGCAAAUUUUUAAAAGAGAUUAAGAUGAUAAGUCAGGAUUUAAGAUACACAACUAUUUGAUUUAGAAGAUUUGGUCGACACACAACUAUGAAAAACAUGAAAACUGAAUAUCAUCGGAGAAAUCCCGAAAAAAGUUAACGAACACAAAAACAAAUAUCAAAC
rnacentral:lncRNA from 1 species